rnacentral:lncRNA from 1 species
AGUUCAUGGGACUGGAUAGUGAUUGACUUUUGAGUGGCCUUCCUCAAAGCAUGGUCUGAAGACCACUGCAUCAGGAUCACCAGAGCCUCUUGUUGAAAAUAAAAAAAAAACACCUCUGUUUGCAUCUGUAGACAAAGAUCUGUUCAGAAUGGUUGGCUUUGUGAGUUUACAGCUGGCCGAUGAGAGGUGCUGCAUGAUAUUGGAAGAUGGGACAGAAGGAACCAGUAUUCUGCAGAGGCAGUUGCAUGAGCAGAUAUGAAAUGUCCUGGAGGCUCCCCCAGUGCUGUGAGACAGAGAUGAAAAAGACAAUCUUCCAAGCCUUAGGAAAAAAAUAUUAACCAACCAUCUCUAGGAAAUUGCAAAAUAGUUUCUACUUUAUCAGGAUUUCCAAUUCCAGGUGAAUAGGAUAAAGAUGAUGGUCUUUGGAGGCAAAAAAAGUGUUACUGGGAAAGAAGUGAUAACCAGACACAUUCACAUCAUUAUGCACCAUCUCUGUUCUGAUAGAGAAGCCAAAAGCACAGGGCCAAUCCUUUGCUUAAGUUAUGAGCAUGGUAUGUAUGACCUAUGUCACACAUGUUAUUUAAAAUGCACAUUUUAGCCUAUUCAAG